rnacentral:lncRNA from 1 species
CUAGUGAGUGAGGAAGAUCUAUAAUUAAAUCUGUGAGUUAUAUGCUGCACAUGGGAAUUGGGCACACACCAAGCCCUGUAGAAAAAUCCAGUAAUAUUAGUAUGGCUGCAACUGGGGGAAUUAAACCUGGCUUUCCCUCAGACAUUUCUUAGCAAAAUAAUUUGGAACAUGAAUAUGGGAAAGCCCUUGUGUUUCUUUCAGAAGUCAGGGUGUGUAGAGGCUGGCUUCCAUUUCCUUCUGGCCCUGAUGUCUCUGCCUAUCCCACCAGCACCAGCCCGUGGAAGGACUGACCCGUCAGCAGCAGGCAGGUCUUGGAGCAUCAUAGUGUCAGGACCAGAAGGAAUCCAAGCCAGAGGCCAUCAAGCGUUUUCUGAUCCUCAAAAUGUGUUUCUCAAAUAAAAUCUCACCCAGAAACUCAGCAGGUGGUUGAUAGUGACAGACCUGAAGGUUCCAAGUUCAGGCUCACUGGAAAGGGAGUGGACCAGGAGCCUAAAGGAAUUCUCAGAAUCAACGAGAACACGGGAGUCGUCUCCGUGACCCAGUCCCUGGACAGGGAAACGAUUGCUGUUUAUCAAGUGAGUAACCCUCACCGGCCCACACUGUGUGGCUUUUAACCAGUGUUUUCUUCUUGCUGAGUCCAUCAUUUCUGUGCCUCAUCAAACUCAAGAGUGCGUGGCUUUAGUGUGUCUCCACGGGAACUGGAGUGAGCUGAGCCCUGAUGGGGUAACAGUGAGGGCUCCUGUCUCAUCAACAGAGCCCCCCGCCUGUGUCAACCUCAGGACACAGACCUGGGGUUUUUUCACAGGCGAUUCAAAUCCAUAGACUAACUUUGCUUUCCAGAGACCAGCUUGAUGAUCAGAGCAAUAAGAGCUGUAAAUCCUUGGAUGUGAUAAUUACCCUUUCAGAAAUAGAGAUAAUUCAGUAUGAUCAGAGAUUAUCAGAGAUAAUUCAGUAUCAUCCUGAGAAUGGAGGAAGCUGCUAAGCAUUCAUCCUUUGGGAAGUGGCUAAGGGCCAGCACCUUUGAAAGGCCAUUUUCUACAUCAUCUCAAAGACUUUUGACCAAGUGUUAGUUACAUGGAAAGAUUAAAGAUAUCAAAUGGAAACAGAAC